rnacentral:rRNA from 1 species
GAGCGGCGAACGGGUGAGUAACAUAUCGGAACGUGUCCUUUAGUGGGGGAUAACGCAGCGAAAGCUGUGCUAAUACCGCAUACGAUCGGGAGAUGAAAGCGGGGGAUCGCAAGACCUCGCGCUAAAGGAGUGGCCGAUAUCAGAUUAGCUAGUUGGUGAGGUAAAGGCUCACCAAGGCGACGAUCUGUAGCUGGUCUGAGAGGAUGAUCAGCCACACUGGAACUGAGACACGGUCCAGACUCCUACGGGAGGCAGCAGUGGGGAAUUUUGGACAAUGGGGGCAACCCUGAUCCAGCCAUUCCGCGUGAGUGAAGAAGGCCUUCGGGUUGUAAAGCUCUUUUGUCGGGGACGAAACGGUUACGAUUAAUACUCGUGACAACUGACGGUACCCGAAGAAUAAGCACCGGCUAACUACGUGCCAGCAGCCGCGGUAAUACGUAGGGCGCGAGCGUUAAUCGGAAUUACUGGGCGUAAAGCGUGCGCAGGCGGUUUUAUAAGCCAGAUGUGAAAUCCCCGGGCUUAACCUGGGAA